UCCCAGGCCCCUCCGUGACCCCCAGCCAGCCACCCACAGAGGCAGCCUCCUCCGCGACAGAUCUUCUUUAUCAGUUCAUCCACGGAUGGACACCUAGGCUGGAUCCGGAGUGUGGCUACUGUGGGCUGUGCUGCUGUGAACACGGAUCUUCUAUUUUAAAAUGAUCGAGAGUCGUGGGAAGUUUGCAAGGACAGCACAGAAUGAUCCUGUGUCCCCUUACCCACCUCCCCCGAUGGCUCCAUUUUACAUAAUUAAAACACAACACAAAGACCAGGA